GUAAAAACCCGCCACUCCGUUUAUUUCCCUGUGUGCUGGCGGUGUUCAAAUAACCGCUCAAAAUGAACGCUGCCAGUGCGUCCUUCUUCACCCCAUCUAAACCCAGAGUGCUGGGCGCCACAGUAUAGGUGGUCCUCGAUUCACGAUGGUUCGAUGGUGAGUUGGCCAUAGACAUUCAGUAGAAACCGUACUUCUAAUUUUGAUUUUUUUCCUAGGCAAGCGAUAUGCGGUGCGAUACUCUCUCGCGAUGCUGGGCAGCGGGAGCGAUCUACAUCUCCCAGUCUAUCACGCAACGAAUUGCACACAAUGCACAGAGCAGAACAGUCAGCUUCGGAAGAUAGGUGAGGAGAACGUCUCUCAAUUGGAAGUUCUGCGGACAGAGUUAGAAAAUGAACCCUCACAACUACCUGACCAGACUGGGAGAAGACCAGCUCGAUAUUAG
rnacentral:lncRNA from 1 species